GGCCUUCACUAGAAAAACUGCAAAGUAUCCUGGGUCGAGACCAUUGUCGGUUUCUGGUGCAUAUUUGGGCUUAUCACGGGUUGAUGAGAACACUAUCCAAUCUCCUGUUGGGGACCAUUGACAAUGCGUGUCAAUCCAAGGUCCAUUUGUUAGCCUUGUUAUUUUGCCAUUCCCAUAUUCUCCUACUUCUGCAUCCUCCAUUAUG
rnacentral:misc_RNA from 1 species